ACGCUCUGACAGCCCGUGUAGAUCGGCGAUUUGAAGAUCGCGGAUAGCUCGGCGAAUGUGAAAGGUU
rnacentral:sRNA from 1 species